rnacentral:rRNA from 1 species
UCGAUGGUAGGAUAGAGGCCUACCAUGGUGGUAACGGGUAACGGGGUGUUAGGGCACGACACCGGAGAGGGAGCCUGAGAAACGGCCACCACAUCCAAGGAUGGCAGCAGGCGCGCAAAUUACCCAAUCCCGACACGGGGAGGUAGUGACAAUAAAUAACAAUACGGGGUUCUUUCGGAUUUCGUAAUUGGAAUGAGUACAAUUUAAAUCUCUUAACGAGGAACAAUUGGAGGGCAAGUCUGGUGCCAGCAGCCGCGGUAAUUCCAGCUCCAAUAGCGUAUAUUAAAGUUGUUGCAGUUAAAAAGCUCGUAGUUGAAUUUCGGGGUUAGUAGGUUGGUCAUGCCUCUGGUAUGUACUGGUCUCACUGAUUCCUCCUUCCUGAUGAGCCGUAAUGCCAUUAAUUUGGUGUUGCGGGGAAUUUGGACUGUUACUUUGAAAAAAUUAGAGUGUUUAAAGCAAGCUAACGCUUGAAUACAUUAGCAUGGAAUAAUGAAAUAGGACGUUCGAUCCUAUUUUGUUGGUUUCUAGGAUUGACGUAAUGAUUAAUAGGGAUAGUUGGGGGCAUUAGUAUUCAAUUGUCAGAGGUGAAAUUCUUGGAUUUAUUGAAGACUAACUACUGCGAAAGCAUUUGCCAAGGAUGUUUUCAUUAAUCAAGAACGAAAGUUAGGGGAUCGAAGACGAUCAGAUACCGUCGUAGUCUUAACCAUAAACUAUGCCGACUAGGGAUCGGAUGAUGUUAAUUUUUUAAUGACUCAUUCGGCGCCUUACGGGAA